ensembl:lncRNA
AAAAAACCCAAUUAUGUUAGUGAAUCCCAGGUGUGGGAUAAGAGGCUGCUUCCCGGCAGGUGAUUAUGCUAUGCAGGGGUGUGGCUUUGCCAGCUGCAGACAGUUUCUGCGAGUGUUUGGAAUUCUGGGAACUUUUCAGAGGCUAUAGAUGGCAGAGCCCGGAGAGCGGCUGCUGGUUUCUGUUGCCACUGUUUGUCAAGUGGUCCUGAGAAGAAGAAAUUGGAGCUAUCCUGACGACAAAGAAGGUACAGGGGUGCUGAGUAGAAGGAACAGCCAACAUCUUUUUUAGAGCAAUUGCUUUGGAAGCACAUGGAUGUCCCAGCGAAGGCAGGAAGCACCACCAAACCGUGGCAUCCUGGCUCUGGGAUACAUCACAGCUUCUUGCUCAUUCCAGAAAUAUCAAUAAUAUCAAUUUCUUAAUCUCAGUGGGAUCCCAUGAAACCAGAAGCUUAAAACACUAUUUUGAGGGUCCCUGGCCCCCCAUCACCUGGGAGAGCAUUUUUACCCUAUUUUCCAUAAAUUUAACACAAAAGGGCAUAAGGAGCCAAGAGCCAAAGGUGCCAAGAGCCAAAGCGUUUGCCAAGAUUGGUUUACGGCUUUUAAAUGGCCAACGGUUCACACACAGUCUCUCUGGCUCGGCUUCUCCAGUUCCAGGUUCGAUGAACAGUGGUUCUUGGAAAGCCCCACACUGGACUGCAGCUGGCACACCCGGUUUACAACUUGGUUGUCAGGAUGCCAAACUGCACAAGGUUCCAACCUUCCCAGAGUUGCUGGCUCCGCCCACUUCUCCAUGGAACUGGUAAUGCUCGGAAGUGGGAGAGAAUCUCCCAGUCCUUUAUAAAUAGUCUCGCCACAUCUCCUUGGUAAAAUACUUACUUCUUGAGGGGAAAAAAAAAAAAGAAAAAAAAAGAAAGAAACCAGAAACUGUGAAGUGAAGCCGCCUCCUCAUUCACAACUUCCCUCUCACCUCCUCCUCAAAGGAAGCUUGUUCAGCUGCUUACUGGCAACAAAUGCAUCCUGGGGCAGGUCCCCACAGCAGCCAAUGAGUGCCUGUGCAAACUAGCUCUUCUCCAUCUCCAAGAACUGCAGGUUUCAGAGCAAGUACCUGCACUUGUGUUUGAACAUGUUGUUUGGGGGUUAUUUCUGAACUAUCUACGAGGUGAAUAUGGUGAGUGUGGCCUGGUUUGUGGCAGAUGAAGGUCCCAGAGACGACCAGACCGUACAAAAAGCACACAUGCGCAUUUACCCUAUAUUGGUGGUUCUCAAAUUUCCUAACGCUGUGGCCCUUUAAUAGAGCUCCUCAUGUUGUGGUGACCCCCAACCAUAAAAUUAUUUUGCUGUUACUUUAUUACUAUAAUUUUGCUACCGCUAUGAAUUGCAACAUAAAUAUCUGAUACUCAGGAUAUCUGAUAUGUGAUCCCCAGAGGUUGAGAAUUACUCCCCUUAUAAAUCAACAACAGGGGCCUGGUUACAAAAGACCAUAAGAAUUAGCGAGAGAGAAAGAACAUAAACACAGUCAGGGGCUUUACUAAUAUAGCCAUUCAAUAAAGUCAGUAUUAGCUGAAUUUUUAGAACAUUCUCAGUGGGGCCUAGUUUCUACGUCUUUUUCAUGUUGUAGGCAGUGCAUGGUAAUGAGCCUACUUUUUAAAGGGAGGAAUUUUCAUACAAAAUAGUCCCUAAUUACAUGACUCAUACUCUAUAUGGUAUUGUACCAAAGAAACAGAGAGAAAAUUCGUUUCAUCGCCUUGACUUCACACAGAAUGCUGUCCCAGGCAGGAGAACCCAAAGGACACCCAUUACAUUUAAUUGUUGUCUUACAUGGCUUUCGGAUCUGAUAGUGUCUCCUGGGCUAGGGAGAGAGAAUAUUUUUCCUCUCCAGUGCUGCAGCCAGUGUCUGAACAGCAGUUGCCCGGGCAUGGCUCAGAAGAAGGGCUGGCGCAUAGGGCAGGCCAGCAGCAUCUACCCUGGGUACAAGUGGAGGUGGGACAGCCACCUACCUCUUUGCCUUGCAAGUGGACAUUAAUGAGAUGAUUUUUUUUUUCUUUCGAAACAUCAGGAUUUUACUUCUGGCCAUGGUAGGAUGUGGGGAAGGAAGAGGGUGUGGAUGGGUGUCUACUGAGUUACUGACCUAGAUCAGGGGUCACACUACCUUUCUGCAAAGGCUCAGAAUAGUUUGGACCUUCCAGAAGAAAAGAAAUUGUCUCAGCUGUGACGCAGUCUACUACUAUGUCGGGGAAGCAGCUGGAGACAAUGUGUUCAUAUGCGAACAUGGCUAUAUGCUAAUAACAUUCAUUUACCAUUUAAAGGCUGUGGCUGACCCUGCACAUAAUUAUGAGAAACAGAGAGAGGAGAUAAAACAUGGAAGAAACAAGAAAGUGGAAUGAGGAGGAUGGUUUGGUAUGGAAAGGGGAUUUGGGGCAUCUCUGGAACAUUCCUUUUGAAGUAACAGAGACCCACUCAGAAUUGGGACUUAGUGUUCCUUUAGGCUAAUGGUCUGCUGGAAGCCUCGGGUGCAAACAAGACAUUGUGCUCACCUGAAGUGGUUCAAGAGCCAAGGGGCUCCAGAAGGCAUUGACUUGUUUGUGUGAAACUUUCCCCUAUUGAGCAAGACAAGGCUCUUGUUGAAAAGCAAAUGGCCUCCACCAACCAAUGCAUUGAAUACAAUCAAUGGCACUUGGGAUGCAUUCAACACAAUCAACAGCACUUAGGGACUUGAAGAGUUAAGAUAGGGCAGGGCUUCAUGGAAUGAAAUAUGUGUUUUGAAAAAAAAAGUGAUGUAAAACAGGGAAAUGAAAUUCUCAAAGAAGCAGGGUUUAUGACACUACACAGGCGGGUCUGAGUAGCUGGAUAAACAGAGGCAGCUGUCCUGAGAGGGAGGCCAGGGGCUGUGUGAGGUUCUGGCAAUAAGACAGAGCCAUGGAUAAAGAGGACUCCAAGAAGGAGAGGCAGAGGAUGGGAAGACUGACUUCUCUCUUAUCCGUGGGGCACUGCUAUGAGUGUGCAUCUGCAAAGAGACACUAGCGAGAAGCUCAGGGCUCAUCCACAAGCUCUAGCAAGCCUAGGUUAAAAUCCCACUUGGGUCAUAACCUUAAGGGAAUUAUUUCACCCCAUCAAGGUUCUGGCUUGCCACCUGUGAAAUACAGAGGAAAUUUCCUCCUCUCUAAGACUUCGUGAAGAACACGUGUGCAGAUUCAGAGAGACAGCCCUUGGGCAAUGACGGGCUUUCCGUAAAGAACUCAAGCGAUCACCAGUCCACUACAUCAGCUGUUACCACAGGGACCUGGUUUUGGCCUAUCACUGGCAGAAGCCGAAAAAGGAAAAUGGGAGUAGGUUACUUGUGAAUUCUGGACUGAUCUUUACUCUGGAGGCAGAACUCUAAACUUCUUUUGUCAUGUUGGAGAGGCAAUCUACUGGGCUAUAGAUAAAUUUCCAAAAAAAAAAAAAAAAAAGUACAAAAAUGAAAACCAACUCAAGCAGAGAGUUGGGGACACGAGCCCUACGUGUCUGCGUGUGCCGUGGAAAGUUGUGAUGAGGAGGAAGCAGGGAGUUUACCCUGUGUCAUCAGCCUUUGACAAGAUGACAAGAGGAAAAUAAUGAGGAGGUCCCUUCUAGACAGCGAGGGUCUCAUGGGGUGGUUCUGUUGCCAGUGGCAUCUAUCACCUUUCCUGAUGUGCAAACCCUGGUGUUCCUUUUUUAGUCUCCACUCUCCUCAACUCCUCACUCUGGAAGGAAUCUUGUUUAGCACACGCCAGUUAGCAUGUGAAUGGACCUGGGACAUAAGGCAACCCAUCAGAGAGAAUGUGAGCCUAUCGCUUAGAAUUCUGGGAGGUGGGUCUAUUUACCCUUUCUUCCCUGUAUAGGAACAGCUUAACUACAGUGUCCGUGAUGUUAUAAAGGAGGACAAACUGGUCAGAGAGAUCGCCUGAAGGAAGUACAGAGCAAAGGGAGUCGAGGGCCCGUUGUUGACCUCUUGAUGAAACUUUGUCUGAAGUAGACAACUCAGUUCUGUGAGCCAAUAACCAUCUCUUACUGUUGAAGCCAGUGUAAAUUGUGGUUGCCUCCACUUUCAAAAUCCCCAGAAGCUCCAGACAGUGACCUCCAAACUCCACCCUUUCCUCAAAAAGAUCACACUUCCUGAAAACAAAUGCUAUUUCCCAGGACACAGAAGAGACCCUGGCUUCCUGCCCUCAGGUUCUGUGGCAGAGGGGUAAAGGCCCACCCUUUCGGCAGCUCCCCACCUUCUCCUCUGAGGACGACGUUUAUUCUUGACCAGGUCCCUCUAUCACAACAGCACUCUGAUGACAACUUAGUGUCUACCCAAUUGAACUAACAUGGAGUUCUAAAAGCAGCUCUGAAAACCAGGCAACUCCCACGCCCUUCGGAUGUCACAGAGUGCGUGGGGGAGUGGCUGAGGGUGUGAACUCAAGGCAGUCUAGGGGAACAUGGGUGUGUGAGUGAGUGUGUGUGGCAGUGUACAGCGUGCAAGCCAGUGUUCCGGAAUGUGUGUAGCCCAGGAGGGUCCGAGCGUGCCUGAGUGUGUAUACUGUGUGUACCCUGUGAGGCAAUAGCCUCUGAGAAAAUGCUGCCCCUAGGGGUAGACCACCAAACAUAUACUCAAAAGAGAAAGGAAGCAGGUAGGGCGUAGACAUGAGCACCGAGAAGCAACACAGCCUGGUAUCUGACCCACAAGGCACACUGUCCACUUUUUGCAGUACUGGGAAUGAAACUCAGGAUAUCACACAUGCCAGGUAAAUAGCCUACCACUGAGGUACACCUCAGAGGCAUCCUGUCCUCUUUUAACGAGUAAUGCUUGAAAGGUCAUGGAAGGGGGCAGGCUGGAGAGCAACUGGGUUUUUGUUGCUGCUAUUCCGUGCCUACUUUUAAAUUGUAAAGGAAAGCACUGGUGUUUGGAACCCUCUAGUCAGCAUUCUAGAAAAGGAGUCACCUAGGUUCGAUUCACAAAUCCUGCAGGCUGGCUCCUCAGAGACAGCUCGGGAUAGCCUAUCUGACUGACAGGGAACAUUGUCAUUAAUCUCUCGGCGAUGCCACAUGUCAUUCAUCUCUCAGUGGUGCCACAUGGUGGUGACAGUUCAGGACUCUCAGAAGACUGAUUUAAACCCAAAGCCGCCACACGAGCUAUCCACAUUUCCUGGUGGUCUUUCUGGCAGCUUCUAAUUCUUAGGCUAUCUGUGCUACCAUCACUCUUCCGCAUAUGUGCUGUGGAUUCUCUAUUGGCCGCUUUUGCUUGGGGAAAGUUUAACUCAUGGCUGGUUUAACUUUUCACUGCCCCAAGACUCUUAACUCAUGAAAGGCACACACAGGACCUCUGCCUGGAGCAAGGUGUGCCCAAUUAAACGAGUCUAAGUAACACCAUUCAUACCUGGGGCAGACAGGAAGAGACAGCAUGGCUUCCUAAACUGACUUCUCAUCCCACGGGAUGUGAGUCACCCUAGGCCUGAUCCCUCAGCAAAGUGAAUCUCUUUGUCAGGAGCAUGGAGAAAAACUAUGUGAUGCACAAGAAAGUCUCUACCUCCAAAACUGAGCCUGUGCACCUUCCUGGGGUCACUUUGAACCAUCCAGGAGUAAAGGGGUGAGAUGUUGACACUAUGCUUGAUAUAAACCAAAUCAGAACAAAUGCUUGACUCAGGAUUUAAAAUUUUCCAUUUUUUAAACCAGAGUUUUGUGAGUAAGUGAUGGAGUGCUCAUACAUAUAUCAGAAAUAUUACACACUUGAUCUAGUUAGACAGGUGGCACUUUUCUUUAGAUAAAGGUGACAGUGGAAGUUUACUGGGGUUUUGACCGUGUCCCAAGUACUAUGCUAAUCACUUUCCAUUUAUUAAGUCUCUGAGAGACACAUAUUGUUAUCCUCACUGUCAGAUGUGUAGACAGUAGGAAGGGAGAGGGAAAAGGAGACAUAGAGAGGGAGAGAAAAAGAGGGAGAGAGAGAGAAAGGAGGAUGAGGAGGAGGGAGAAAAGGGGGGGAGGAGGUGGUGGGAGGGAGAUGGGGAGGCGGAGGAGGAGGAGGAAAACAUUAGGACUCAGACAAGGUUUCCCUAGAUCCCAGCUGCCUGGCUCAUAACCCAUGCUAACUGGCUGACUCAGUGGAAACAUAAAUUUAAACAACCCUUUCAAAUCAGAACUGAGGAAAGAUGAGCUGAAGAUCCCUGAUAUCACAAGAAAGGGACACCUGGAAUUUGGAGAAGUUGUCACUGACAUUUCACCACGGAAACCCACAAAGUGUCUAUUUUCAGGAUCCCUGUUCUCUUGAAAGCCCCAAAGUUAGUGAGAAUAAGCAGAAGCAGGGAGAAACAAGAUAAGGGUAGUGGAAUGUGGAUUUCCUGGAGUGGACAGUCCCUUGUUUAAUGGCCUCCCCUCCUUCUAAUGGUCAAAGGGAAUCUAUCUGGUUAAGUGUCUCUUGAAAUACAAAGGACCAGAGUGAGAUGAAUGGUGUCUCCAUAGAUUCAGACCAUUCCACAUGUUGAUUUUCUCUUCAUUUAGAAAUUAGUCUCGCCAUCAUUUAAGGUAUAUUGUAGGAAAGAGUUAACCUGUUUGAAUGCUAUAAGGGGUGGAUCCAGUGACAGAGCUGAGAGGGUGCCAGUGACAAGUUCCACAGCCUCCCCAGAUUCCCCAAUUUCAAUGGGGAGGUUCACAGGCUAUCAACAUCAAUGGUGGGUCAACGUUAACAUGAUGUCCUCUUUGGUCCCACUGCUACUCCUAUCUCUGCAGUAAUUCCCAUGGCAACUACUAUCCUCUAAUACCUCGUGCAGUGAUUGGCAUAUAUGAUAUACAAUAGUCACUUAUUGAAGGGUGGAUUAAAGUCGCACAACUGUAUUAAUACUUGAGAUCACCAACACCAAUCAGAGUAAUUAUUAUUUACUGAGUACUUACAGGCUGUUUACACAAAGGUCAAUUUCAGCUCCCCUCCCUGUGACUAUAAUGUAGGCCUUGUCUGAUCAUCUCCAGGUUACAAAGGCACAGGGAUGUUAAGAAACUGAUUCAAGGUAACUUAGGUCAGAUUUGACUCUGGGCAAUUUGAUGUUCCAGUCAGAUCUCCCAGCCUUGUACCAAAACUCCUGUCAGAAGGCAAUUAAGUGUCCUGCCUACUUCUCAAAUCCAUCCCCACCAUCCGCCCCGCUCCAGAACUACACUGGUAGAGUCAGUCGCACGUCACCGAAAUCCUGCUUUAUAACCAGGUCUCCCCAGAUGUCUUCAGAUUCUAAGACAAUAAAUAUGCAAAGGUUCUUGAAAUAGCCAGGGUUCCCACCGUCCCAUUUCCUCCCAGUUGCUGUGCGGUUGGGCUUGAUUGCCUCACUUAUCUCAGGACAAUGAGACGGAUUCGCCAAGCAUCCAAAUGAGGUGUAGCUUUUUCCGAGGCUGCAGGGAGAAGACAUUAAAACUGUGUCUCAUACGCUGUGAGCUGCAUAAGGAAGCAACAGCAGCAGCAACAACAAUGAAUGUGCAAACUUCUCAGAAAAAGAAGUGGAGGGAACGUUCUAGUUGCCCACCAAGUUCUGGUUCCACAAAUGCUUCUAAACUCCCAUGGGGAAUUGGAACCUUCUGGAAUUUCUCCAUUCUGGACUAUGUCGGGGCACUUAUUGUGAAAUUUUUAUUAUCAGGUUUGGUUUCUUUUCAGGAAGAUGGUGUUGGCCUGGAGAGAGGUUCACACAUGGACUGGUUUUAACUGGGCUUCUCAAGAUGCGUGUUUCUAUGUCCAGAGCAAGACUAAGAAAUAGCAUUGUUACAUUUCAUCACUUCCAGAGGGGAGAGGGGGCUACAGGUAAGAUGUCUUCCUUCAGAUCAAAUGCAAAAUACACGCCACCCGUUCCAACAUGUUACGUGGCAACAAGGCAUGCCUCUCAUAACUAAGGAUGUCCUAAAGAACAAGGGUGCCCAUCUGAACCCUAUUUGGAAGGUGGCGUAUAAAACAAGUCUACACUAAAGCCAGGCUCUUUUCCCCACCUUCACACCUUGAAUCCAUGUGGCUAAGAACCAUCAGUCUUAGAAAGCAGCCAGUUCUUCCCAUCGGCAGGGGAAAAUGAUGCUUCCUCGUAAUUAAAAGGUAUUUCUUCAGUGAAAGCCCAGUGGGAAAGUCAGUAGUAACAGUGUGAGAGAUCUAAAACCUUGGGAAUAAAAAUUUUCAAUUCCCCCAGGAAGCAAACUGUGCUCCUCAGAGGAAGCCAGUGACAAAGGGCCUUUUGUCAGUGACGACCCUGACUUAGGGAGGAUCAGUCUGAAGCUCUGAGUCAGCUCCUGGGACACCUCGCUGGAGGAGAUAACAAAGCCAGAACUGAGCUGGUCUCUGAAACUCUUCAAGGUCUCACCAAAUAUAGAGAAACUAACAUAGCAACCAAUCAAACUGGUACUAAUGUCACUGCUCCUCCCUUAUCAGUCAUGUUAGAGGCUACCCAACCCUUCCAGAAAAUCCCCCUUAGCUCUGUAUAAAAGGGGACCUGAGAGCCCCUUAGGUCAUCGCUGUUUUGAUAAAUGGUUGACUCCUGUGUGCUGAUAACUUCUGCAGACUAAACACUCUUUGUCUUUACACACUAUUUGAGUCUCGGGUCUUCUUCAGCGAUUCUUGGACGCUAACAGGUGUAUGUUGGCAGGGUUGGACCACUAGGGCCUGCUCACUGCUGUAGGUAGACUAUGCUGCAAGCCGGAUCUGUCAGUGGGACCUUUAAAGGGGUGGUGCUUUAAUGUUUUCGUAAAUGCUGUCUGAG